rnacentral:rRNA from 1 species
CGGCAGCACGGAGAGCUUGCUCUCUGGUGGCGAGUGGCGAACGGGUGAGUAAUAUAUCGGAACGUGUCCAAUAAUGGGGGAUAACGAGUCGAAAGAUUCGCUAAUACCGCAUACGCCCUACGGGGGAAAGCAGGGGAUCGUAAGACCUUGCGUUAAUGGAGCGGCCGAUAUCUGAUUAGCUUGUUGGUGAGGUAAAGGCUCACCAAGGCGACGAUCAGUAGCUGGUUUGAGAGAACGACCAGCCACACUGGAACUGAGACACGGUCCAGACUCCUACGGGAGGCAGCAGUGGGGAAUUUUGGACAAUGGGGGCAACCCUGAUCCAGCCAUUCCGCGUGAGUGAAGAAGGCCUUCGGGUUGUAAAGCUCUUUCGCAAGGGAAGAAAACUUAUGAUCGAAUAAAUCAUGAGGUUGACGGUACCUUGAUAAGAAGCACCGGCUAACUACGUGCCAGCAGCCGCGGUAAUACGUAGGGUGCGAGCGUUAAUCGGAAUCACUGGGCGUAAAGCGUGCG